AUUGAACGCUGGCGGCAGGCUUAACACAUGCAAGUCGAGCGGAGAUGAGGUGCUUGCACCUUAUCUUAGCGGCGGACGGGUGAGUAAUGCUUAGGAAUCUGCCUAUUAGUGGGGGACAACAUUCCGAAAGGAAUGCUAAUACCGCAUACGUCCUACGGGAGAAAGCAGGGGAUCUUCGGACCUUGCGCUAAUAGAUGAGCCUAAGUCGGAUUAGCUAGUUGGUGGGGUAAAGGCCUACCAAGGCAAAGAUCUGUAGCGGGUCUGGGAGGCUGGUCCGUCACACUGGGACUGAGACACGGCCGAGACUCCGACGGGAGGCAGUAGUGGGGAAUAGUGGACGUUGGGCGGAAGCCUGAUCCAGCCAUGGCGCGUGUGUGAAGAAGGCCGUUUGGUUGUAAAGCACUUUAAGCGAGGAGGAGGGUACCUAUAUUAAUACUCUGGGAUAGUGGACGUUACUCGCAGAAUAAGCGCCGGCUAACUCUGUGCCAGCCGCCGCAGUAAAAC
rnacentral:rRNA from 1 species